CCUCACUCAUCCUCAUUUAUACUCUAGCUAAAGCCUGUAGAGGAAUUCAUUUCUCUGAUGCUACUGGUCACUGAUAUAAUGCCUGCAAACUUGCAGAAAAUGUAAACUCAUCUGCUUGCAAAAAGAACAAGACUUUUCAAUGGGUCAUAUAAUUUCUAUAUAUGGGUUUGUCAGGGUAUUUAUAUCGGCAGACAUUUUGUGCUAUGAUAGAAAUUAAAAGUGUAUAUUCUGAGUCACUCUGAACAGAGCAGACUCCAUUUUGUUAUUUCCAAGUUAACAAAAGACACAAGAUUUCUAUCUGUAAAACUAACCACUUUGCCAGAGCUAAUGGAAUAGAUGCAUUCUAAACCCAGACAUUUGUGACAGAGGAGAUUAAAUAAUACAAUUUUACUUUCUAUAUGUACAAGGUCCCAUUGUAAGUUACGGGUCAAAACUCAGAAUUUGCCAGACACAUAGUCUGGACAAAACUUAAAGAAACGGUUUGAAGUGACAGCAAAUCUAAGUUAUAGCAAAGAUAAAGAUAACGCAAAAUGACGUCAAAAUAGCCACCAGGAAAAGUUAACUCUUUCCUGGAUAGUUAUGUUUAGUGGGACCAAAUACCUAAAUUGCGAUCCCUAGAUAACCACACCUCUAGUGCUUCUUUUGGGUUAUCAACGGAUGACGUACAGAGAGUCUGGCCCUUUAAAAGUUAGGACAAAGGGAAGACAGGGGGGUUAGGAAAAAGAGGAGAGAGGAAUUGGAAGUUCGGGGACUCCAACUCGGACAUGCAGAGAAACCCAGGACAACAUCUGAGACUAACACUAUACUCUUAAAACUCUAACACUUAGAAUUAUACUGACUUUCUAACCAACACCACCUUUCACCAUAACUCAUGCACCUACAGACAUCCAAAUA